rnacentral:lncRNA from 1 species
CUCACCCUCGAUGGUGCCCUCGACCUGUCCUCCCUCAGCAGCCUGUGGCAUCCAGACCAGUUCGUGGCCCCUAGGAGGGGAAACUGAGUCCCAGCCCCAGGGUCCUCCCUCGGCUUCACUGGGUGCCCCAUGGAGGAGACAGCCAGGGUGUGUCACCUGACAGGCUCACCAGAACCAGCACAGCUGCUGAGUUUUGGCUCCCGGACCCUGGAGCCCCUGCUGCCGAGGCUGGGGAUGGCGGCUCCAGAGGUCAUUCCUCCCCCGGAAGACACACGCUGGCCUUGGGCCAGGGGACCCUCAGCGACGGGGUCACCCCAAUGUUCUGGAGGCUGCGGUUCUGCUUCCUCCUGGGGCUGAGCUGAGCAAGCUCUAGCUCUCGGGCCGAGCGCAAGGAGGGCAGGAGUGAUGUCUCCAACUGUGCUGAGGUCUGCCCUGGGUGCAAGGGCCCUGUGUUUUCAGCGCUGCCGUGUGGCCCAUGGAUGCCCCAGGCCCCUGGACAGUUGAUGCCUGGGGUCCACACUCCUGGACAGGGCUCUGGACAGUUGAUGCCUGGGGUCCACACUCCUGGACAGGCCCCCGGACAGUUGAUUCCUGGGGUCCACACUCCUGGACAGGGCUCUGGUCAGUUGAUGCCUGGGGUCCACACUCCUGGACAGGGCUCUGGUCAGUUGAUGCCUGGGGUCCACACUCCUGGACAGGCCCCUGGACAGUUGAUGCCUGGGGUCCACACUCCUGGACAGGGCU